GGUUAAGCGACUAAGCGUACACGGUGGAUGCCCUGGCAGUCAGAGGCGAUGAAGGACGUGCUAAUCUGCGAAAAGCGUCGGUAAGGUGAUAUGAACCGUUACAGCCGGCGAUGUCCGAAUGGGGAAACCCAGUGCAAUUCGUUGCACUAUCGUUAACUGAAUACAUAGGUUAACGAGGCGAACCGGGGGAACUGAAACAUCUAAGUACCCCGAGGAAAAGAAAUCAACCGAGAUUCCCCCAGUAGCGGCGAGCGAACGGGGAGCAGCCCAGAGUCUGAAUCAGCUUGUGUGUUAGUGGAACGGUCUGGAAAGUCCGACGGUACAGGGUGAUAGUCCCGUACACCAAAAUGCACAGGUUGUGAACUCGAAGAGUAGGGCGGGACACGUGGUAUCCUGUCUGAAUAUGGGGGGACCAUCCUCCAAGGCUAAAUACUCCUGACUGACCGAUAGUGAACCAGUACCGUGAGGGAAAGGCGAAAAGAACCCCGGCGAGGGGAGUGAAAAAGAACCUGAAACCGUGUACGUACAAGCAGUGGGAGCACCUUCGGGUGUGACUGCGUACCUUUUGUAUAAUGGGUCAGCGACUUAUAUUCUGUAGCAAGGUUAACCGUAUAGGGGAGCCGCAGGGAAACCGAGUCUUAACUGGGCGUUAAGUUGCAGGGUAUAGACCCGAAACCCGGUGAUCUAGCCAUGGGCAGGUUGAAGGUUGGGUAACACUAACUGGAGGACCGAACCGACUAAUGUUGAAAAAUUAGCGGAUGACUUGUGGCUGGGGGUGAAAGGCCAAUCAAACCGGGAGAUAGCUGGUUCUCCCCGAAAGCUAUUUAGGUAGCGCCUCGUGAACUCAUCUUCGGGGGUAGAGCACUGUUUCGGCUAGGGGGUCAUCCCGACUUACCAACCCGAUGCAAACUACGAAUACCGAAGAAUGUUAUCACGGGAGACACACGGCGGGUGCUAACGUCCGUCGUGAAGAGGGAAACAACCCAGACCGCCAGCUAAGGUCCCAAAGUCAUGGUUAAGUGGGAAACGAUGUGGGAAGGCACAGACAGCCAGGAUGUUGGCUUAGAAGCAGCCAUCAUUUAAAGAAAGCGUAAUAGCUCACUGGUCGAGUCGGCCUGCGCGGAAGAUGUAACGGGGCUAAACCAUGCACCGAAGCUGCGGCAGCGACACUAUGUGUUGUUGGGUAGGGGAGCGUUCUGUAAGCCUGCGAAGGUGGCCUGUGAGGGUUGCUGGAGGUAUCAGAAGUGCGAAUGCUGACAUAAGUAACGAUAAAGCGGGUGAAAAGCCCGCUCGCCGGAAGACCAAGGGUUCCUGUCCAACGUUAAUCGGGGCAGGGUGAGUCGACCCCUAAGGCGAGGCCGAAAGGCGUAGUCGAUGGGAAACAGGUUAAUAUUCCUGUACUUGGUGUUACUGCGAAGGGGGGACGGAGAAGGCUAUGUUAGCCGGGCGACGGUUGUCCCGGUUUAAGCAUGUAGGCGGAGGUUCCAGGUAAAUCCGGUACCUUUUAACGCUGAGGUGUGAUGACGAGGCACUACGGUGCUGAAGUAACAAAUGCCCUGCUUCCAGGAAAAGCCUCUAAGCAUCAGGUAACAUUGAAUCGUACCCCAAACCGACACAGGUGGUCAGGUAGAGAAUACCAAGGCGCUUGAGAGAACUCGGGUGAAGGAACUAGGCAAAAUGGUGCCGUAACUUCGGGAGAAGGCACGCUGGUGUGUAGGUGAAGUCCCUGCGGAUGGAGCUGAGACCAGUCGAAGAUACCAGCUGGCUGCAACUGUUUAUUAAAAACACAGCACUGUGCAAACACGAAAGUGGACGUAUACGGUGUGACGCCUGCCCGGUGCCGGAAGGUUAAUUGAUGGGGUUAUCCGUAAGGAGAAGCUCUUGAUCGAAGCCCCGGUAAACGGCGGCCGUAACUAUAACGGUCCUAAGGUAGCGAAAUUCCUUGUCGGGUAAGUUCCGACCUGCACGAAUGGCGUAAUGAUGGCCAGGCUGUCUCCACCCGAGACUCAGUGAAAUUGAACUCGCUGUGAAGAUGCAGUGUACCCGCGGCAAGACGGAAAGACCCCGUGAACCUUUACUAUAGCUUGACACUGAACAUUGAGCCUUGAUGUGUAGGAUAGGUGGGAGGCUUUGAAGCGUGGACGCCAGUCUGCGUGGAGCCAACCUUGAAAUACCACCCUUUAAUGUUUGAUGUUCUAACGUUGGCCCCUUAUCGGGGUUGCGGACAGUGUCUGGUGGGUAGUUUGACUGGGGCGGUCUCCUCCCAAAGAGUAACGGAGGAGCACGAAGGUUAGCUAAUCCUGGUCGGACAUCAGGAGGUUAGUGCAAUGGCAUAAGCUAGCUUGACUGCGAGCGUGACGGCGCGAGCAGGUGCGAAAGCAGGUCAUAGUGAUCCGGUGGUUCUGAAUGGAAGGGCCAUCGCUCAACGGAUAAAAGGUACUCCGGGGAUAACAGGCUGAUACCGCCCAAGAGUUCAUAUCGACGGCGGUGUUUGGCACCUCGAUGUCGGCUCAUCACAUCCUGGGGCUGAAGUAGGUCCCAAGGGUAUGGCUGUUCGCCAUUUAAAGUGGUACGCGAGCUGGGUUUAGAACGUCGUGAGACAGUUCGGUCCCUAUCUGCCGUGGGCGCUGGAGAAUUGAGGGGGGCUGCUCCUAGUACGAGAGGACCGGAGUGGACGCAUCACUGGUGUUCGGGUUGUCAUGCCAAUGGCACUGCCCGGUAGCUAAAUGCGGAAGAGAUAAGUGCUGAAAGCAUCUAAGCACGAAACUUGCCCCGAGAUGAGUUCUCCCUGAGACUUUAAGUCUCCUGAAGGAACGUUGAAGACGACGACGUUGAUAGGCCGGGUGUGUAAGCGCAGCGAUGCGUUGAGCUAACCGGUACUAAUGAACCGUGAGGCUUAACCUU
rnacentral:rRNA from 1 species